rnacentral:rRNA from 1 species
GAUCCCUUAUAAUAAUAAAGAAAGUUAAGUUUCGCUCUUAGAAGUUUGUAUCUCGUGUGUGGUAGUAGUUAGGAUUUAAAGCCUAACUAGCUAUAUGCACGUAGUCGUAACUGAAAGGUUGAUCGACCACAGUGGGCCUGAAUAAAGCCCAUGAGGAUUGUCACAGCAGUGAGGAAUAUUGGUCAAUAGCCUAACGGCUGAACCAGCAACUUGGAGGAAUGUAUAGCAAUAGCUACUUGCAUCAUUGUAAAUAUGAUGCAAGAUCGACUAUGUCGAAUAAAAUUCUAGGUAGAAUUAUGAUAAUGACAUUGUCUGCCUAUGUGUCUUGACCAAAUUACGUGCCAGCAGUCGCGGUAAUACGUAGAAGACUAGUGUUAUUCAUGUUUAAUCGGUUUAAAGGGUACCUAGACGGUAAAUCAAGCCUAAAAGGAAAUAAAUGAAGGGACUAAUUUACUAGAGUUACUUAUGAGGGGGUAUUAAAGUACUGCUGGUGUAGAGAUGAAAUUCUGUCAUACCUCUUUUCAAUAGAAAAAUAACGGCACAGGUAUAGGCGAAAGCAUCCCCUUAUGUGAUAACUGACGUUGAGGGACGAAGGCUUUGUGUAGCGAACAGGAUUAGAUACCCCAGUAGUCAAAGCAGAAAAUGAUGAAUGUCAUAGAUUAGAUAUAUAAGUUUAUUCUAUAAAUGAAAGUGUAAGCAUUCCACCUCAAGAGUAAUUUGGCAACAUUGGAACUGAAAUCAUUAGACCGUUUCUGAAACCAGUAGUGAAGUAUGUUGUUUAAUUUGAUGAUCCGCAAAAAACCUUACCACAAUUUGAAUAUUUAUAUCUUUUAUUGUUUUUCUUUUUAACUUUCUUCUGAUUUUCUACUUAAAAGAAAACAAUAACAAGAAAAAAGAGGCAAUAAGAUAUAUUUACAAGCGUUGCACGGCUGUCUUCAGUUAAUGUCGCGAGACUCUGGUUAGUUCCAUUAAAUUAACGUAAACCCUUACUUUAUUUUUAUAUAGAGUAGUUCCCCGCUAUAUUGGAUAUGAUAAC